rnacentral:rRNA from 1 species
UGAGCCARGUUUAGGGUUUUCUCAAAAYCCAAGCAGUAUUGAACUGAAGAGUUUGAUCAUGGCUCAGAUUGAACGCUGGCGGCAGGCCUAACACAUGCAAGUCGAGCGGAUGAAGGGAGCUUGCUCCUGGAUUCAGCGGCG